rnacentral:tRNA from 1 species
UGGCUCAGGGGUAGAGCAUCGCCUUGCCAAGGCGAGGGUCGCGGGUUCGAAUCCC